rnacentral:rRNA from 1 species
GAUCCUGGCUCAGGAUGAACGCUGGCGGCGUGCMUAAWACAUGCAAGUCGAGCGCGUUUYGAAGGUGCUUGCACCUUCAAUGAAACGAGCGGCGGACGGGUGAGUAACACGUAGGUAACCUACCUUUAUGACUGGGAUAACCACGGGAAACCGGGGCUAAUACCGGAUAAGAUUUAGCUUCGCAUGAAGCAGAAGUAAAAGGCAGUUUCGGCUGUCACAUAAAGAUGGACCUGCGGCGCAUUAGCUAGUUGGAGAGGUAAGAGCUCCCCAAGGCGACGAUGCGUAGCCGACCUGAGAGGGUGAUCGGCCACACUGGGACUGAGACACGGCCCAGACUCCUACGGGAGGCAGCAGUAGGGAAUCUUCCGCAAUGGACGAAAGUCUGACGGAGCAACGCCGCGUGAGUGAAGAAGGUUUUCGGAUCGUAAAGCUCUGUUGUUAAGGAAGAACACCAKGAUAGGAAAUGAUCGAUGGAKACGGUACUAACCA